rnacentral:rRNA from 1 species
AACGUAUGAGACAAACGUUAUCCGGAGUUACUGGGCGUAAAGGGCGUGUAGGCGGUUAGUUAAGUCUGGCGUGAAAGCUCUCGGCUAAACCGGGAGAGGUCGUUGGAUACUGGCUGACUAGAGGACGGUAGAGGCGUGUGGAAUUCCGGGUGUAGUGGUGAAAUGCGUAGAGAUCCGGAGGAACACCAGUGGCGAAGGCGACCACCUGGACUGAUACUGACACUGAGGUGCGAAAGCGUGGGGAGCAAACAGG